ACGAACGCUGGCGGCAUGCCUAACACAUGCAAGUCGAACGAAGCCUUCGGGCUUAGUGGCGCACGGGUGCGUAACGCGUGGGAAUCUGCCCCUUGCUUCGGAAUAACAGUUAGAAAUGACUGCUAAUACCGGAUGAAGUCUUCGGACCAAAGAUUUAUCGGCAAGGGAUGAGCCCGCGUAGGAUUAGGUAGUUGGUGGGGUAAAGGCCUACCAAGCCGACGAUCCUUAGCUGGUCUGAGAGGAUGAUCAGCCACACUGGGACUGAGACACGGCCCAGACUCCUACGGGAGGCAGCAGUGGGGAAUAUUGGACAAUGGACGCAAGUCUGAUCCAGCAAUGCCGCGUGAGUGAUGAAGGCCUUAGGGUUGUAAAGCUCUUUUACCAGGGAUGAUAAUGACAGUACCUGGAGAAUAAGCGCCGGCUAACUCCGUG
rnacentral:rRNA from 1 species